GUGGGGAAUAUUGCACAAUGGGGGAAACCCUGAUGCAGCAACGCCGCGUGAGUGAAGAAGUAUUUCGGUAUGUAAAGCUCUAUCAGCAGGGAAGAUAAUGACGGUACCUGACUAAGAAGCUCCGGCUAAAUACGUGCCAGCAGCCGCGGUAAUACGUAUGGAGCAAGCGUUAUCCGGAUUUACUGGGUGUAAAGGGUGCGUAGGUGGCAGUGCAAGUCAGAUGUGAAAGGCCGGGGCUCAACCCCGGAGCUGCAUUUGAAACUGCAUAGCUAGAGUACAGGAGAGGCAGGCGGAAUUCCUAGUGUAGCGGUGAAAUGCGUAGAUAUUAGGAGGAACACCAGUGGCGAAGGCGGCCUGCUGGACUGACAAUGACGCUGAGGCUCGAAAGCGUGGGGAGCAAACAGGAUUAGAUACCCGAGUAGUCC
rnacentral:rRNA from 1 species